CCCUCCUUUCUCGAGCUAACGUGUCAGUUGCGUAAAAGCAAUGCGUUGAGCGCUCACGCUUAUCGGCUGUGAAAAUGGACAGACUCAGGGGUCUGUAGCUCAGUCGGUUAGAGCACCGUCUUGAUAAGGCGGGGGUCGAUGGUUCGAAUCCAUCCAGACCCACCACUGUUUCUGCGGUGGCUGCGCUAAUCGCGAGGUUGGAAAACUCACCCCUGGGGUAUCCGUACAGAUGUUGAAAUCUGUGCAUGACUGGGGGAUUAGCUCAGCUGGGAGAGCACCUGCUUUGCAAGCAGGGGGUCGUCGGUUCGAUCCCGUCAUCCUCCACCAAUCCUCAAUGCGUAGCGUUCUGUGAGAGCGCAGAGUGCUGUGCAUUGGCGAUUGAGCCGGUCAGAGUGACAUGAAACAGAGUUUUAUGUCGGCUGUCGUUCUUUAACAAUCAGGAAGAAGUAGUAAAGAGAUUCACGAAAGAUCACUUAGAGAUGGGUGAUGGAGUAGGUGAAUCAGGGUUGUGAUUGUAUCAAUGUAUGAAAAGGUGAUCGAAAGAUUGCCUUGGAAUACGGCGCAACACGAAUACUCAACCUGUAACGAGUGAGGCAAACACGAUCUUCCCAGUGAAGGCCGUGCGAGACACACCCGUUAUAGGGUCAAGCGAACAAGUGCAUGUGGUGGAUGCCUUGGCGAUCACAGGCGAUGAAGGACGCGGUAGCCUGCGAAAAGCGG
rnacentral:misc_RNA from 1 species